rnacentral:lncRNA from 1 species
CUUAUAAAAGCCGGAGGAAAUAACUUUGUACAGCAGGAUAAGCAUGCAUUUGACAAAGUUCCAGGUACGGCAAUAGCUAAGAGCCAUGAAAGCUAGGAAGAAAAUAGCUGCCAACAGUCCUGUCUAACUAGGAUGAUCCUGAUUUUCUACUUGCCCUGUCGAAUUCUGCUCCCACAUUAUUUUCUGAUGAGGCUGAGGACAGGAUUUCCCUUCCAGAGCCACCUUCGUUCCUAGCAGUUUGAACAGUGUUUUCUCUGUGGGGUAUGGAGAGUCCUGGAAAGAAAACUGUGCCUCUCUUCUCCUGCCUCACCUCCAUUUUGCCUACAAGGACUGCCAGGUACUGAGCAAGGAGGACACCCAAGAUGGGAAGAGAUUUAACCUCUAAGGUUCAAACUUCUUCUGCCGAGAACAGGACCACAUCCAAGAUGAUAUUUGUGAAAGCGUUUUAGAAGAAACCGAUUUGCCGUUGGAGGUUGCCAGAGGAAUGGGUCACUCACUCCCAAUCACAGCAAUUGGAAAUACCAGACCAAAAUUUCCCUGAUAAGGAGAGCAACAGGCCAGAGCACCCCUUUCAAGACCGAUGAAGGACAUCACGCGUUUGGAUGACCAGUUAUUUCUGGUAUUCCUGCGUGUGCUUCUUCGUGGACUGGGGCUCCAAAACGCCACAUCAAAGCACAAUGACGUUGUUUAGGGAAAGG